rnacentral:rRNA from 1 species
UACAGAGGGUGCAAGCGUUGUUCGGCAUUAUUGGGCGUAAAGCGCGUGUAGGCGGCUUUGCAAGUCGGGUGUGAAAGCCCUCAGCUCAACUGAGGAAGUGCGCCCGAAACUGCAGAGCUUGAGUGCCGGAGAGGGUGGCGGAAUUCCCCAAGUAGAGGUGAAAUUCGUAGAUAUGGGGAGGAACACCGGUGGCGAAGGCGGCCACCUGGACGGUAACUGACGCUUAGACGCGAAAGCGUGGGGAGCAAACAGG